rnacentral:pre_miRNA from 1 species
AAACCGCCCCCUAAGUUUUGCAACUGUACAGUUUUGGCCCCCCAAGGCCAAUUUUUGGUAAAAAAAAUAACACGUGGCACCUCACUUAGGGUGCCACGUCAGCGUAGACUGAGUCAAAAUUGGCCUUGGGGGCCAAAACUGCCACAGAUGUAAAACUUAGGGGGCGGUUU